GUGGCAGAUAAUAGAUCUUUGGCCACAGUGCUGUUACAAUGGACUUCUGUAGCCUGGCCAACCACAAGGAGUUUGUUACAGUGGAACAUCUCAUCUUCUGUUGGAGAAAGGUUGUCUGGGAACAUACUGGAACGGAUUCUUUCUUUUUUUAUUCAUACUGUCUGGUUCUGUGCAAAGUGUUUGGCAAGAUCUGACUGUUUAGACGUUGAAAGUGCUUUGCAUUGGAUUACAACAUUAAGGUCCUCUUGUGUUUUAUCCUGAGAAAAAUCCCCCUUUUCCCUCCAGGGGUGUUAUGUGUAACAUAUACAGUAUAUGACUGAUUAUCCAACAAGCACAAGAAUGAAGCAGAAUUUUAAUGAAUGCAUCUUAAAUUACAAAGCAAUUGUGAGUUUCUAAAGCUAAUAUGACUAAAGUGUGAAGUUUAAAAAUGUGCACAUUCAAAUCAGAUGACACUUCCAUCUCCUUCAUUUUGUGGAGCUUAGAAAUCCAAAGUAGUCAAAAGUAACAUUAAAGCAUUAAAGAUAAAAUGUUCCACUAUAUUUAUAUGCAGUAUCUGUAUCUCACUUGCUUUUUCUUUGAAAAGCUUUUUACAUAACGGUUGAAACUUAGAAUACAUAAUUUUAUGAAAUAUUUAAUAAACUUUCAUUUUACGAACGUCAUACAUUGAAAGCAUAAAGUGUAUUGUUGCAUCUAAAAUUGACUUUUCAGUAAGCGUUGGCUUACACUCUGUUGAAGCCCACAUCCGGUUUAUUCAGAACUCAGUUUAGUAAUUGCAACAGAUAAUGACAUCAGUUCACACCACUAAUAUUUCCCCUGUCUUAUUCACAGAACAGUGAUCUGUAUAGGAAAACAGUUGUUCUCACUGUAUGUUUUAUAUCUGUUUUACAUGUUGAGAGUCUCUCAAUAAUAACACCAUUGAUAUCCAUUGCCAUUGUCAGGUGGCUGCUGAAGCUCCUGUAAUGUCUGCUGGGAUAGCCAUGUUUACCACCCUCAACCUCAGGCUGUUCCCCAUUGAGAGCUUCAUGCCCAACAAGGGUGCAGCACACCGAAUCCCCCCUGAUUCAGGAGCUCAUGUAAACAACCUGCGGGCAGCACCUCCUCUCCCCAGACUGUACCCGGUUACUAAGAUCUCAUACUGCUCCCAUAAAGAACACCUCCAGAUUUCUCCAGAAGUCUUUUUUAUUUCUUUUACAGGGACAUCUGUAAACUCAGCUGUGUUGGAUUGCGACAUGGCCUUUAUCAGAAAAUUGGGGUGUGCAGUUAAGCCAUCUAUAUACAGGAGAUUACAUGCCUCAUUGCUCCCGUCCUCCAUCACAGACUGAGCAGAGCAUAUGCAUUGAGUUGCGCUGUGUUUACCACAACCACGCGGUCUCUCCAUUACAGAAGAACGCUGUGAUGACAGGUAUUCCAGUCCCUGAUUUUGAGCCCUGUUAUGACAUCUCUCCUCCCUUCUCCACCCACCUGCUUCUUAACGCUGGUCCUUGACUUAAUGUGGCCGUCAUGGUGACUGUCUAGGACAGAUGAGAGCUAAUUGAAAUAGAAGGCUGCUUCUCACUGAUCUAGACUGACAGCAUCCCCUCGCCAGAAGUGACUGUACCACCCCAUGCUGGCAGUUUUCACAGUGAAAGAAAAGUGUGUGGUGGUGAAAAAGGCAGGCUGUGCUGCGAGUACUUGGGCUGCCUGCCAAAGCUGCCGGAUGAGUUUAUUAAAAACAAGAAGAGAGAUGCAUAUAUUUCCAUUUUGUACCCUCAAAGAAUAAUAGCAAGGUUUUGAGCUAUGUGCUGCGAAGGACUGACCCUUUCCGACAUACUAUCAGCGAUCACAAUGAGCCAGGCUCGGGGAUGGAGCGAAUAGCGCAGCACACAGUCUAAAUAAUUUCACAUGCCGGGCAUGUCAGUUUUGAUGUAAUGAGCUCUGAUUUUGUCAUCCAGUGCUGUGCAGAUAGGUUAAUCAUUUUCAUUAACACCACCUCCUCUGAGAGACCUUUUCCUCUCCAGUGCUGUCAGCGGUACGUUGGCUUGGCGAGCGCUCAGACCCCGGCGCCCCUCAGAUGUGUUAGUCUAGUGCCAGAAAAGACUGAAUCGAUGCACACAGACAGGCAAGGACCCCUCAGCGGGCCCUGAGUGGACGGCUGUGAUUACUGCUGACAAUAAUUUAUGGGCCUGGCUGAUUGAAAACAUGAGAGAUGUAGUUAGAGUUGCAAGGGUGAUUAGGCACCACCUUAAGAUACAAAGAUGGUGUCACAGCUGCUGCUGGGAGAAAGUCUGCAGCCGUUCGCCGCAUGCCUUCUGCCCUGCAGUAAAAACCGGAAUUGCACCCCACGUCUGUGCCCCCUGCCAGCCCAUACACAUGCGCAUAGAACUGAUUAUAUUGCAUUAAACUGUUCUUGUGCAUCAUUUUUUAUUCUGCCUUUUUACAUUAGAAUCAAAGUUCCAUAUGUAGAUUUGGUGAGAGUAGAUAACAUGCAUUUAUUCCUAUGGUUUUGAGGAAAUCAUUCAUAGUCAAAAUCAUUCAUUUGCUGUAAACUGUGAACUCUUUAUCAUAAUACACAAUCCUCAACACUUCAGAUCUGCUUUCAGUAACACCUCCAUCCUUUACAUAUUCAUCUGGUCUUUCUCACCCCAGAGGGAGAAUUACCGUGGCUGUAAAACAAUGCCUACACAUCUAAUAUCAUAUUGACUGUUGCAUAUCAAAAAUGUUUUUGUGGUUUCAAUGAAUUUAGUUUGCGUUGUAGACAAUAAAUCAACAUGUAUUUUCAGUGUUCUGUAUUGAGGUUUGAUUUAAAAUUC
ensembl:lncRNA